UAAGUAUCAGUUUUAGACAAUAUGACCUUGUCAAGGUCAAGACACAUUACUUAA
rnacentral:tRNA from 1 species